AAACAAAUGAUAUAUAUUGAAUAGGAUCAUACAUAUUUCAUAGAACAUAUUAUACUGCAAAAUAAGUUGUCAUGUAGCCAUGGCAAUGACUUUUAAGUUACCCUUUUUGAUGCCUUAAUGCACUGCUCUGCAUGUUUUAGUGUCAAGCCUCUGAACAUGCCCAGCACUCAAAAGCUCCAGCUGAGAGUGAAUAUAAAGUGGUAAUUAUGUACCUAACUGGUCACAUGCCUGGAUAAAUGGUGUUUGUGGGCACAGGCCAUGGCCCUGGGAGCCCGAGCUAUUGGACGGGAGCUGGAGGUGUUGGACAGGAGCUGGAGGGGCUGUGUUGGGCUGCUGUGGCUGCAGCUGGUGGGGAGACCUGCAGGUGUGAGGAGAUGGGGCUGCCCAGAGGUGGCUGUCACCCAAAUCCCCCCUGGGAGAAAUCCAGUGUCUGGCCUGGCGGCGAGCUCAGAAAGCACAAGCUGCCCAGAGCAGCUGUGGCUGCCCCUGGAUCCCUGGCAGUGCCCAAGGCCAGCCUGGACACUGGGGCUGGGAACGCCUGGGACAAGGUUCCUGCCGAUGGCAGGACGUGAAACUGGAUGAAUUUUAAGGCCCCUUUCAACCCAAGCCAGUGAUUCCAUUAUUCUAUGUAUCUGUGGCAUUUAAAUAGAGAGUGUAGAAGAAUAUCUCAGGUUUUGUCCUCAUUCUUCAGGGGGACAUUAAUUAACAUGUUUGAGGCCAGCAUUUAUGUCCUCGCCCUUGGCUGCAGGCUUUGUGCUGUGGUAGGUGAGACAGUUUUCCACCCCUGUACUGCUCAUGGUGCCUGCUGUGCCCACCCUGCAUGGGGCAGCCCUGCAAUCAUGCCAUCCAGGUGCCUUACACAACCUCCAAGGUGACAUUGCAGUCACUCAGAAAUUACACAGAUGUGGUAGAGGGUGACAUUCUUGUCGUCUUGACACAGUGGUGACAUUAGCAUCUAAUUAUCUUGUAGUCAAUUUAACAGCACCAGUCACAUCCUGUAGAUCACAUAUUGUACCACCUUGAUGAACUGAAUCUCCUGGGAACAUUAAAUGGGUUUGGAUCACCAACAAUUCAGGUGAUCAAGGAAGCAUUCAAUGGAUUCAAUAAGCGUGGCAGUGCUCAGUUGUCUCUGCAGUGGUGGAUUGCUGCUGUGAGGCCCGGGUAUAUAGGGAUGCCGUGGUAAAAAUGAAUGGAAAGGAAGAUCUUGGGCUGGAAAACCAGCCAGGAAUAGUGUUACACCAGGACCUGGUGCCUGUGGGAUGUGGCAGCAGCCCUGAGAGCCCCCGGGCACGCGGGGCAGCAUGACAGAACCCAGCUUUGCUGGGAGGACAGCCUGGUCAUUCACACAGCACAAUUACAGCUGAGCUGGCUUGAACUGGAUCAGCUUCUUCCCAUUGUUAGGGCCUCCCUAAUUUCUCAUCAGCCCUGUCUGCAGUCAGGGCUGUCACAGAGCUUUGUGCGAGCUGUGAAGCACAGCCUGGUGAAGCGGGGGACAGGGUGAUCAUUGCUGUCAUCGCUGGAGCCUGCUGUUCCAUCCAGACACCUGAGCCUGCUCUGAGCUGGCCACGUAACCAGCAGGGAGAGAGCAUCGCGCAGACAUUCCAAGGGGAGCGAGAGGAACGCUCUGUGCUGGAGGCUCUGGCUGGUGAGGCAGCCCUGAGCUCUCCAAACCGUGCUGCUCUUUCUGCGAGGCGCUCCUUGUCUCCCAAGGGUGAGCAAAGCUCCUGAGUCACCGAGCUCCUCUGCAGGCAGCUCCAGCCCGCCACGGCUCCUCGGCUAAUGAGCACUUCUGAGCAACAACUGCCAGGCUGCCUUCUGCGCGUCCAGCCACCAGGAUGUUUUCCUCUAUUUAAUUAGAUAACAGUCAACAUAUUUCACAAAUAAUGUCUCUCUCUCAAGAACCAUUUGUUGUAGGUGUCUAGCUUUCUGUUUCUCAAUUACCCCUUUUUCAGAAAGCAUUUCUGGUUUUGAUUGAUCCUCAGUUGUUAUUAAUGCAUUCCUGGCUGUAUUAUCCAGAAAUGAGAACUAUAAAUUCAUAUCUCUGGAUGUAAUCAGACCUCUAUUACUGUCCAUCACAGAACACACAACAAAAAAUUGAUGCAGCUUUACUUCUCAGUAUUAUUCAAAUGAGUUCUGAUUUUUUAUUUUUUUUUUUUUUUAAUGGGUGACCUGGUUUGGGGAUACUUUUAUGCAUAUUUAUUGUAAUCACACCUAAAUAUUACCUUCUUCCUUAGCAUUUGAGGUCACUUAAGGUAAUUUCAAAACUUAAUUUUAAUGACAUGCAUGGUUAGUAAUGAAUUACAUUGGCCACCCAGAGCAGUUGUCCUCAUGUUAUCAAUCCCUUCUUUGAUAUUCACAAGGGAAGUCUUGCACAGAGACAGAGAAACAAACAUUAAAUUCAAUUGUAUGACCAAGCACCAGAGUAAUAAUUUUCAUAUGACGGGUAAUGCUUUCACUAUUUAUCAAUUCACUUAUUAAGUUACUCUUUGAAAAGUGAAGUGUUGAACAAAUAAGUAGAUCUUUCUCUUCUACAUAUGUAAAGACAGAGUGUGAUUGAGUAAGCCUACUGAAAAUUUUGAUUUUAUAUGAAUUGUUCUAUUAAAUCAUUAUGGCAUCUCUGUGUCUCGCUAAAUAGAUAUCUCUUUCAAAUUUAGGAAAAAGUUUUCAGGUAUUUAAUAUAUUUCAUGAAGUCUAAAAGAGACUCAAGAAACACCAUGAAAGUUCCAGAGUCAGAUUGAAAUUUUGGGGCUACUUUGAUGAGUUUUCUAAAGUUUUCACAUACAUUUGUUCUGUGUUUUGUGACCAAGCUGUGGUGGCAUUCCAAAGCAGUGUGGCCAAAGCGCUGCUGCAGUGGGGUGGGUUUAAUUGCCGCCCCUGCUGACGAAGCAGCCCGGGGCUGAGCUGUCCGUGUGGAGCCCCAGGCAGGGGUGCCCGGUGAGCCCGGUGCCCAGAGGAGUUUGCCAGCCCUGUGGGGCACCAGGUGCCCUCAGUGCAGCCUUGCUGCUUGCUGAGGGAAUGGCCAGCACCUUCAGCUCCUGUCCAGCACCUCCAGCUUCCCUCCAACACCUCCAGGGAAUGGCACGGUGCCUGAAUGAAAGCUGCUGUCAUUCCUGGAAAGAAAUGAGAUGUGGCCAUCUUUUCUACCAACCCUUUGGAUAUGUGUGACUGACAGAGGCAAAUACAAAGACUGACUCUCUGUGCAUGCUGGGGGACAGGGGCCUCGCUAAGCCUCCCUGUGCCAUGCUGGCAUCAGAAGAGCUAAACCAGGCUUUUCACCUUUAAUUAAACCCAGGAGUUAAUUUGUCCCUGCAAUGGGAAUGGAGAUAUACCCACCCACAGCAUGGUGCACGCUGGCCUCCUUCCCAUUCAGUAACUUUUGCUGUGCUCCUCUACUUCAGCUCUGGAACCAACCCCCUUCAGCAGGCUCAGGCUUUAGCUUAUAUUUAUAUGAUUGCAGUGCUGGCAAUAAAGCUGUCAUGUGGAGCA
ensembl:lncRNA